UUCUGCAUGUACAGAAAAUGAUGUUUGAAUCAUGACACUAAUCAUUCGAUCGAGCAAACAGAGAGAGAGAGAGAGAGAGAAGUGUGGUCCUGCUGCAGCAUUCGGAUCUGCCAAAAGCGAUGUGGAAGUGUGGAAGAUAAGAUCUUCUAAGAACAACAGCCAGAUAUAGAUAUGGAGAGGUGUAACGUGCUCUUUGAAGGAAGGAGAGAUAUACUGAUGUGAUCAGAAAUGAGAUAUGUGGAGGGGAUAUGGAACCUUGAAAGACUUGUCUCACUUGAUCCUGCUCGCCUAUUCCUCUUUUUCUGCUGGUGGAUAAUGGUAGAGAGAGAACACGGUAAGUCCUUUAGGAUUGGUGGAUCUCAUAUCUGUAGUCUCAGAAGAUAGAGAAGUAAAGGUGAAGACGUGAGACUGCGAGUGUGGCUGACCUUCAAUUUUCCGGGAGAGCGUGAAAGGUGUUUCUGCGAGGAAGAGAGAGAGAGCGAGAGAGGUUGGCAGUGUGUUGACAGAUGACGCUGACAGGGGGGAGGGGGGAAUUUGCGACGGGGAAAAGGGCGUUGGGAUGUGCAUCCCUUGGCAAGAUGACCAAUGAGCAUUACUCCCAACAAUUUCACGAGCACUUCCUACGACUAAGGAGAUUUGAAUUUGGUCCGCAGAUGAACCAUCCUUUCCUGUGAGCAGACGCAGCAG
rnacentral:lncRNA from 1 species